AUAGUACUCCCUCCGUCCAACAAAAAAUGUCUCAAGUUUGUCAAAAUUUGGAUGUAUCUAAACAUGACUUAGUGUAUAGAUGCAUUCAAAUUUAGUCAAAGUUGAAACAUUCUUUGUUGGACGGAGGGAGUAGUGG
rfam:Brachypodium distachyon strain Bd21 chromosome 4, whole genome shotgun sequence.